rnacentral:rRNA from 1 species
UGGGGAAUAUUGCACAAUGGGCGCAAGCCUGAUGCAGCCAUGCCGCGUGUAUGAAGAAGGCCUUCGGGUUGUAAAGUACUUUCAGUCGGGAGGAAGGUGGUAAGGUUAAUAACCUUAUCAAUUGACGUUACCGACAGAAGAAGCACCGGCUAACUCCGUGCCAGCAGCCGCGGUAAUACGGAGGGUGCAAGCGUUAAUCGGAAUUGCUGGGCGUAAAGCGCACGCAGGCGGUUGAUUGAGUCAGAUGUGAAAUCCCCGGGCUUAACCCGGGAAUUGCAUCUGAUACUGGUCAGCUAGAGUCUUGUAGAGGGGGGUAGAAUUCCAUGUGUAGCGGUGAAAGGCGUAGAUAUGUGGAGGAAUACCGGUGGCGAAGGCGGCCCCCUGGACAAAGACUGACGCUCAGGUGCGAAAGCGUGGGGAGCAAACAGG